rnacentral:tRNA from 1 species
GUAAAAAAUAUCCUCGGGGGGAGUCGCCCAUUGGGCGACGGGGGGCAGACAGCCCCCCUGCACCGGUUCAACCCCGGUAUUUUUCC